UGCGUAGGCGGCCGCGCAAGUCUGGCGUGAAAGCCCCGGGCUCAGCCCGGGAAGGGCGCUCGAAACGGCGCGGCUGGAGUGCCGGAGGGGAGAGUGGAAUUCCUGGUGUAGCGGUGAAAUGCGCAGAUAUCGGGAAGAACACCCGUGGCGAAGGCGGCUCUCUGGGACGGUACUGACGCUGAGACGCGAAAGCGUGGGGAGCGAACA
rnacentral:rRNA from 1 species